rnacentral:tRNA from 1 species
GCUAGUGUGGGGUAGUGGUUUGAGCACUGGACUACAAUUCUGGAGACCAGGGUUUGAUUCCCUGUUUAACUA